UACAGAGGGUGCGAGCGUUGUCCGGAAUCACUGGGCGUAAAGGGCGCGUAGGCGGUCCGGUAAGCGUGUGGUGAAAGCUCGGGGCUCAACCCCGAGUCGGCCGUGCGAACUGCGAGACUGGAGCAGAUCAGAGGCAGGCGGAAUUCCGGGUGUAGCGGUGGAAUGCGUAGAGAUCCGGAAGAACACCGGUGGCGAAGGCGGCCUGCUGGGAUCUUGCUGACGCUGAGGCGCGACAGCGUGGGGAGCAAACAGG
rnacentral:rRNA from 1 species